CUACCUCGUAUGCAUCUCUUACAUCCCGUAAUUCAACACUACUUUAGUCCUAAAAACACAAGGUAAAAAAAAAAAACAUGCAGGGUACACGUUAAAAUCGGACCGCUACCCUCAAUUCCCCGCGAUGCAACGAUGCUGCUCUCCCGGUUCUGCCUCUUUCACCGAGCUAGAAACUCAGGAGAGCGCAAUUGCAAAGCCUUGUUUGUUUCCUUUCUGCUAAUCGUUUUCACCAUGUCUCUUUCA